GACGAACGCUGGCGGCGUGCUUAACACAUGCAAGUCGAACGAAGUGGCGAACGGGUGAGUAACGCGUAAUCAACCUGCCCUUCAGAGGGGGACAACAGUUGGCAAUGACGGCUAAUACCGCAUACUGAAGGAGGGGAUUGCGGUGGAUUAGCUAGUUGGAGGGGUAACGGCCCACCAAGGCGAUGAGCAGUAGCCUGGCUGUGGGGGGGAACGGCACAAUUGGGACUGGGGCACGGGUCAGACGCCUACGGGGAGCAGGAGGGGGGAAUCUUCCGAAAUGGGCGAAAGUCUGGCGGAGCAAAUGCGCGUGGGUGAUGACGGCCUUCGGGUUGGAAAACUCUGUUAAUCGGGACGCGGUACCGGAAUAGAAAGCCACGGCUAACUACGUGCCAGCAGCCGCGGUAAUAC
rnacentral:rRNA from 1 species